rnacentral:rRNA from 1 species
ACGUAGGACACGAACGUUAUCCGGAGUUACUGGGCGUAAAGGGCGUGCAGGCGGCAUGGCAAGACGGACAUGAAAGCUCGGGGCUCAACUCCGGGAGGCUGUCGGUGACUGCUGUGCUUGAGCGUGAGAGAGGGGUGUGGAAUUCCGCGUGUAGUGGUGAAAUGCGUAGAGAUGCGGAGGAACACCGGAGGCGAAGGCGGCACUCUGGCUCACGGCUGACGCUGAGACGCGAAAGCAUGGGGAGCGAACGGG